rnacentral:rRNA from 1 species
GUCGAACGCUGGCGGCGUGCUUAACACAUGCAAGUCGAACGAGUGGCGAACGAGUGAGUAAUACGAGGGUACCCUGCCCUCUGGUUAGGAUAAGGAUUGGAAACGGGGUCUAGUACAGGAUAGAGGGGGUGGGGGUCGCGGCCUAUCGGCGGGUUGGUGGGGUGAUGGCCUACCAAGGCGGUGACGGGUAGCCGGCUGGAGAGGGUGCCCGGCCACAUUGGGACUGAGAUACGGCCCAGACGCUUACGGGAGGCAGAAGUGUGGGAUAUUGGACAAUGGGCGAAAGCCUGAUGCAGCGACGGCGCGUGGGGGAUGAAGGUUUUCGGGUUGUAAACCUCUUGCGCUAUCGAACGGGUAGGUGGAGAAGAAGCGCCGGCUAACUACGUGCCAGCCGCCGCGGUAAUUC